AAAUCCGGCACGGUCGCGCCGCUGUGACCAGCGUGUCGAAGCUUCUUCGCGCUGGAAGUCAGACCCUACCGCACAAGCACUCUUUCGACUGAACGCGUCAUUCCCGGAGGAAUACA
rnacentral:sRNA from 4 species